rnacentral:rRNA from 2 species
AAAACGACUCUCGGCAACGGAUAUCUAGGCUCUCGCAUCGAUGAAGAACGUAGCAAAAUGCGAUACUUGGUGUGAAUUGCAGAAUCCCGUGAACCAUCGAGUCUUUGAACGCAAGUUGCGCCCGAAGCCAUUAGGCCGAGGGCACGUCUGCCUGGGCGUCUCA